GACGAACGCUGGCGGCGUGCUUAACACAUGCAAGUCGAACGGAAAGGCCCUGCUUUUGUGGGGUGCUCGAGUGGCGAACGGGUGAGUAACACGUGAGUAACCUGCCCUUGACUUUGGGAUAACUUCAGGAAACUGGGGCUAAUACCGGAUAGGAGCUCCUGCUGCAUGGUGGGGGUUGGAAAGUUUCGGCGGUUGGGGAUGGACUCGCGGCUUAUCAGCUUGUUGGUGGGGUAGUGGCUUACCAAGGCUUUGACGGGUAGCCGGCCUGAGAGGGUGACCGGCCAAAUUGGGACUGAGAUACGGCCCAGACUCCUACGGGAGGCAGCAGUGGGGAAUAUUGCACAAUGGGCGGAAGCCGGAUGCAGAAACGCCGCGUGCGGGAUGACGGCCUUCGGGUGGUAAACCGCUUUCGCCUGUGACGAAGCGUGAGUGACGGUAAUGGGUAAAGAAAAACCGGCUAACUACGU
rnacentral:rRNA from 1 species